GAGUUUGAUCCUGGCUCAGAACGAACGCUGGCGGCAUGCCUAACACAUGCAAGUCGAGCGCCCGUAGCAAUACGGGAGCGGCGCACGGGUGAGUAGCGCGUGGGAACCUGCCCAGAGGUUCGGGACAACCGCGGGAAACUGCGGCUGAUACCGGAUGAUGCCUGAGGGCCAAAGAUUUAUCGCCUUUGGAGGGGCCCGCGUCGGAUUAGGUAGUUGGUGUGGUAACGGCGCACCAAGCCAAUGAUCCGUAGCUGGUCUGAGAGGAUGAUCAGNCACACUGGGACUGAGACACGGNCCAGACUCCUACGGGAGGCAGCAGUGGGGAGUUGAUUGGACAAUGGGGGCAACCCUGAUCCAGCAAUGCCGCGUGGGUGAUGAAGGCCUUCGGGUUGUAAAGCCCUUUCGGCGGGGACGAUGAUGACGGUACCCGCAGAAGAAGCCCCGGCUAACUUCGUGCCAGCAGCCGCGGUAAUACGAAGGGGGCUAGCGUUGUUCGGAAUGACUGGGCGUAAAGGGCGCGUAGGCGGCGAACUUAGUCAGGCGUGAAAGCCCUGGGCUUAACCUAGGAAUUGCGCUUGAUACUGGAUCGCUGGAGUGUGGGAGAGGAUGGUGGAAUUCCCAGUGUAGAGGUGAAAUUCGUAGAUAUUGGGAAGAACACCGGUGGCGAAGGCGGCCAUCUGGACCAUUACUGACGCUGAGGCGCGAAAGCGUGGGGAGCAAACAGGAUUAGAUACCCUGGUAGUCCACGCUGUAAACGAUGUGUGCUAGACGUUGGGGGGUUGCCUCCCGGUGUCGCAGCUAACGCGUUAAGCACACCGCCUGGGGAGUACGGUCGCAAGAUUAAAACUCAAAGGAAUUGACGGGGGCCCGCACAAGCGGCGGAGCAUGCGGAUUAAUUCGAUGCAACGCGAAGAACCUUACCAAGGCUUGACAUGGGCCGGACCGGGCUGGAAACAGUCCUUCCCCUUUGGGGCCGGUUCACAGGUGGUGCAUGGUUGUCGUCAGCUCGUGUCGUGAGAUGUUGGGUUAAGUCCCGCAACGAGCGCAACCCUCGUUCCAUGUUGCCAGCGCGUAAUGGCGGGGACUCAUGGGAGACUGCCGGGGUCAACUCGGAGGAAGGUGGGGACGACGUCAAAUCAUCAUGCCCCUUAUGUCUUGGGCUUCACGCAUGCUACAAUGGCCGGUACAAAGGGUUGCGAUACUGUGAGGUGGAGCUAAUCCCAAAAAGCCGGUCUCAGUUCGGAUUGGGGUCUGCAACUCGACCCCAUGAAGUCGGAGUCGCUAGUAAUCGCAGAUCAGCAACGCUGCGGUGAAUACGUUCCCGGGCCUUGUACACAC
rnacentral:rRNA from 1 species